rnacentral:tRNA from 1 species
GCGGAUAUAACUCAAUGGUAGAGUGUAACCUUGCCAUGGUUAAAGUUGCGGGUUCGAGUCCCGUUCUUCGCU